CGCCCCGGCCUUUCCGGGGGAGCGGGAGAGCGGCGCCGGAAGCGGGCGGGGCGCGGUUGCCGCGGCAACGGCGGGUGCGGGGAGAGGCGGGAAAGGCGGCGGCGCCCUCAGGGCCGGGCGAGCCCCGCCGGCAGCGGCCGCUGCCCCGCAGCGGGGCAUGAGCACGCAUGAGCCCAGCGGGAGUCACAGCGGCAGCACCGGGCGGGUAUUCCCCCGUGUUUCAGUUAUGUCCGCGGCGUUUUCUCCCCUAUCGGAGCGGCUGCCUGCGCGGCGGCCUCGAGGGCCGGUCCCCAAGUGAGAGGGGCCUUCCCCUGGGAAACAGCUGGGAAGGUACCAAAGAACUGGAAUUUUGGGCCAACAGAAGUUAAAGAUCCAUCAUCCAAAUGUCAGGGUCAUUAUUAAGAAUUACCAUCCUGAAGAUUCCCAGCUGAAUUAGUGUUUAAAAGCAUAAAUUCAAUUUUCAGGACUCCAGACCCAGCUGCAGAAAGCACGGUUUGCUGUGUACCUCACACAGAAAAAGCCCCUUUAAAACUGCUAAAGAUUCUGUUACAUAGUAGGAAUCAUUUAAAAUAGGGGAUAGAACCCACAAAGCAGCUGGAUGUGUGCAGGACCUGCACAGGUGCCCAGCUCAGGACAGAACUUUCUGGUGCUGCCGUUAGGUAAAUUAACUGGCAAGUGCCUGCAUGCCAUUAGCAAGCACUUCCUUAAAAUUCCUUGGCAUUAUUCAAAAACCCAGUUACAGCUCAACUGCUAAAUCAUUCAUUGGCUUAAGGUCUGCCCCUGCAUCCUUGUAAGGUAAAGAAAGAAUUCCUCCAACAAAGAACUCAGAGGAUGGCAAAAAACCUCCAGUUCUGGACCCCAAAACUGAACCAUAAGCUGCUGGCAUUGGAGAAGACUAGGGUAUUUGCAAGAUUUGCAAAGCUGGGAAAUGUAAAACAUGAUGGGAAAUGCAAAAGAUGAGGCAGUGCAGAAACCCAGAUGAUCAAGUUUAACCUCAAUCCAAAAGGAGGCUGGAAUCUGUCCUUAAAGCACCUCAGAGCCAAGAGCCCCUGAGCACUCAGUGAGGCUGGAGGAACAGCAGAUUCUGAUGUACAUUUCUGUUAUCUAAUAACCCAGGAGCCCAAAUCAGUUGGUUCUCAGGUGACAUUUUAAUAAAAAGUAGAAUUGUACUGUAUUCCCAGAAGUUUUAAGCACCUAUUUGUUUGCUUCAGCGUUUCUCUCAUUGAGCUGAGAUCUGGACAGUGAGGAGUGUUGGAUCCUCUGCAGUGUCUGAUGCAAUUCAGCUCCAGUCAGCGUUUCCCUGUUUGUCCCCCAGCCUUUCCCUGGGAAUGGCUGGGAUGCGCAUGUCCCUUCCCCACGAGAUGUGACUCAGGAGUGUCACCCCGACAUAUUCACAUUGCUUUUAUUUAGGUCUUCUGCCAACAGUUACAGGGUAACAGACACUUGGGACUGCAAAGUCGAAGUUGCAAGCAAAAAUCAGGACCAAGGCAAAAAAAAAAAAAAAUCCACAAAGGCAAUUAAAUCAAAUCCAAUAUAAAUACAAUGUUCUGGAGCUCUUUAAUCAUACUGCUUUCUUUAAUAAAGAGGUGGUUAGGAUCUUACAGUAUUUUCUUUUGGCCUAAUCCAAGGAUUUUGUUACUCUUCACCAGUCUUAAUUCCACACAUACAAAAAAAAAUUGAUAUUCAACCUUUAAAAUAUAAGCCAUAUUUUCUUAAUAAAAUAAGUUUUGUGCUGCUGCUUGUUUAGUAAGUACUGUACAUCAACUGUUCACGGCUAUUUAACAAAUGGACCAUACAGAGUUCAAGCUAGAGCAAAAAAAAAAACCCACAAGAAAAAUAACAACCCAAACGGAGCGUCCUGUAAACACCCUAUGUACAGUCCCACACUUGCUCAUAGAAAGGAGGUACGAAAGGGGCUGGAAAUCGAACACAAAAGCACUGGAGUCCUGGAAAUUUCCUUUCACAACUAUUGAAGUGCAAAUCACUCAGGCAAGAUAUGAAUUUCUCUUGUUUAUUGCUCUCCUGCUGUCUGGCUUCCCUUCCUGAAACAAUCACAUUCUUUUAUUUCACACUGAUUUUCCAAGAAGAAAACCUUCCGCGAGGCAACGCUGGAUGCUUGGGCUGUUUGAGACAUCGUGUGCGAUCCCACAACACCCCGACUGCCCUGGAAGCUGUGGGGAGAGGGCAGAGCAGCCCUCCCACCCCGUUCUGCUCAGAUAUGAGAUAAGGGAAACAACAGCAUUCUACAGGUAAAGGAAAGCUACUCCUCUUCCCACAGAACUGCAUGCGCUCGGCAACGCUUCCAGCGCAGGUGGAACUCGAGAGGCAGAGACUCGGAGCUGGUCGGGAUGCCUGUGUGGGGUUUGUGGCUAACUACAGAUCCUGAUAUGUACCUGGGGUAACACCUAUCCGCUACAGGCAGCAAAACGCACCUCAACAUGCAGCUACUCGUUUGCAUCUCACACAAGAGAGGGGGAGAAAUGCCGAUGCCGGAGCGCGGAGAGGGUACGGUGCAUAGUCCGGUAUAGAAAACAUGCGGGUCACUCCAACCUCUCUAAACUUCUUCAAAGUGGAAACAGGGUUUAAAGGGCACAGCAGCUACUGAGUUUGGCUGUUUUGUUUAUCCAAAACCAUGAAAACCCAACGCAGAGGGUGAAAUAAGGGCAGAACACGAUCUGCAAGUCAACAGCUGAGAGUUUCAGAAGCUGUGAAGCUUUUGUGUAGUUAAAAUUGCUGUUAAAAAUAGGUGCUACAUCAGCAAGUCUUCAUUCAUAGUUUUCUAUGAACAGCCACCUUACAAAUGAGUGCAAAUCUUAAAGGUCCAUUUUACAUUUCAAGUCUCAAGGUUAAAAAAAAUUGUUACAGAGCAACAAGCUGUUUCUGUAAAUGCCCACACUAUCUCUUUUCAAAUGGUUAAAAAUGGCACGUGCUAUGCCACAGCUACUAAAAGACAUUUCAGAAUUCUAGACCCAACUAAAACACUAAAAUUAAAACGAGGAACCAAAAUACCUUUGCCCCUCACUGCAGAGCAGCAGCCAGGCGCGUUCCGGUGUAAUGCUGGUGAACAAACUGAUUUGCAGAGAGAACCUUGACCUUGACCCCGAUUUUACUCUUAAUGAGGAGCUUUCUAACACCAGGUGAGCGGGAACAGCCCCUCUGAGAUUGUUUUGCUUUCAAUGAACAUAAGUCAGAGUUCGGAGGAUGAGAUGGAGGUGCUGAUUGGUGUCACUAUGCAGGCACUUGUGUAGAGGAAUGUAGGCUUCUCAUGUUGACACUUAGUGUUGAUGUGUUCCCUACGCUCUAAAAGCCUUCCUAAGAGUUCCCUACCUACUGACCACGGACAGGUCCUGGUCUCCUCCCCGUCACCUUGAGGAUAUACAGCAGUGGAGGUUGACACAAGGUGCAAAGGAGGAUAUGAACCAAACAGUGUGGUCUUGAGGAAAACAGGACUGUGCUAAACGUAGGAUCUUCACCAAACGUGACAUCAGUGGGCUCAGCACUUAGUUUGCAUAGCAUAGUGAUGUUGUCACUGUUCACAAACACGUUGCCCCAAAAGAAAACGGCAAGAGUGAAUUCCCGGGGUUAGGACAGCUCAAUGGGCCAACAUGACCGGUGUGGUUUUCAUGAAGGCAAGGCAAGUUUCAACGUCAGAAAGUACAAACCAAAGAGGUGUAGAUGUGCUUCUGUCCACGCGCGGGCCAGGGGCAGCGCUCGCGUGGGGCCGCCUGGGAAACGCGUUCGGCAGGAAAAUGAUACCAGAGCUCUUCCCCUCAGAACGUGGCAGGAGCGUGCGCCUCGUUUGUCUCUUGAAGGAAGCGCUGUGAACACUUUCAUAGAAAAAAACCCAGAUAAUGUGCCCGGAUGAUAUUGGUACUGAGCUGCCACCACGGCCCCGCCACCGUGCGUACGGUCACUGUGCAGCAAAACGGGUCUGAAAAGCAGUGACCAGGUUCCUGUGGGGAAAAAGGCUGUUUUCCUGGUACAAGCACAGAUCAGGAGUUUCCCCCCCUGACAACAACAGGGAUUUCAUCAUUCUAAGGAACAAUCUGGUGUGCUUUCAGAAUAAAAACCCUGGGCAUGAGAGCAGUGAUACCAUGACACAAAGAGCAGCAAAACCUAGCAGCAGAGAGGGUGAGAGCCUGGAGGUGGGGAUGUGGUAGGUGGAGAAGCAGCCGGCCCGGGCAGGCACGUGCCAAAUGCACACAGGCAAUGGGCACUGUGGAGCACCUGGCACAGCACAGGCUGCAGUAGGCAGCACUCAUUGGACAGAAACGUUGGAGGGCUGUGGCGUGAGCACACAGCCUCAGGAAGUGUGGGGAUGUAAACUCUGAGAAUGUUAAUGACUUGUGGAUUUUGGCAACAGACUCAAUAUUGUAUAAAAAUAAUGUUUAGUAAAAAAAUCCCGGUGUCCAUCAUAAAAAGUCAGGGGAGGGGGGGAAAAAAAAGAAAGCAAGAAAAACAUGGAUAGCGCUUUCUGUCCUAAUGGGAUGGAGAUGCCCCCAUUUGUCAGAAACAGUUUUAAAUAACAAGUAGUACAUUGGAAACAAAAAUGGGUCAGCAGCCAUUAAACGUGUCCUGUAUGAAAGUGCACAUCUUUCAAUGGGGUUUAACCACCGUGAGGUCGUGAUCUGACACAAACUGCAACUGAGGACCAUAGAAAUUAACUCCUUCUGAUGGAAAUAUGGACCACCAUCAAGACAAGAUUACUAGUUUCCUUACAAGAUUAAAAACAUUGAAAUUUUGCAGCAUCAUAGUAAGGCACUCACCCAUGGAAAAGUCUGUGACUGUUGCUUUGAGCGGCAGCAGCUGACUAGCUUGUAACACGAGGAAGACAGUUUUCAGUUCUGAGCUAAGUGCUAGGGUGCCUUACAUUAUCUGGGAGGAAUUACUCGGGGGCGGGGAACUGUUAGUGUUACAAUUCUCCUAUAAACUAGUUGUUUUGUUUUUGUUUUUUUCCCUUAACCCAUUAAAGCAUCUCAUAAUCUAAAAUAUUAGUUUUAUAAAUCUAGUCUUCUGUUUUAAGGCUCUAAAAAUCCCCUCCCCCAACCCCCACAAAAAAUACCUACCAGCGCCUGGUGGGCAACGGAGGACCAAAGCCGCCAGUUCACAGUCAGGAGUCUCUAGUAUUGCAUCUUAAAAAUGAAAACCUGCUUCCGCCUCCCGGGAGUUUUAUCCCUUCCCUUGAAUGCCUUCAUGUGUUUGGUCAGGUCAAAAUUUUGCAAAGCCAGAAAAAAUUAAAAAAAUAAUCA